rnacentral:rRNA from 1 species
GAUGAACGCUGGCGGCGUGCCUAAUACAUGCAAGUCGAGCGAACGGACGAGAAGCUUGCGUCGCUGAUGUUAGCGGAGGACGGGUGAGUAACACGUGGAUAACCUACCUAUAAGACUGGGAUAACUUCGGGAAACCGUAGCUAAUACCGGAUAAUAUUUUGAACCGCAGGGUUCAAAAGUGAAAGACGGUCGUGCUGGCACGUAUAGAUGGAUCCGCGCUGCAUUAGCUGGUUGCUAAGGUAACGGCUUACCAAGGCGACGAUGCAUAGCCGACCUGAGAGGCUGAUCGGCCACCCUGGAACUGAGACGCGGUCCAGACUCCUACGAGAGGCAGCAGUAGGCAAUCUUCCGCAAUGGGCGAAAGCCUGACGGAGCAACGCCGCGUGUGUGAUGGCGGUCUUCGGAUCGUAAAACUCUGUUAUUAGUGAAGAACAUAUGUGUAAGUAACUGUGCCCAUCUUGACGGUACCUAAUCAGAAAGCCCCGGCUAACUACGUG